rnacentral:rRNA from 1 species
GAUGAACGCUGGCGGCGUGCCUAAUACAUGCAAGUCGAGCGAACGGACGAGAAGCUUGCUUUUCUGAUGUUAGCGGCGGACGGGUGAGUAACACGUGGAUAACCUACCUAUAAGACUGGGAUAACUUCGGGAAACCGGAGCUAAUACCGGAUAAUAUUUUGAACCGCAUGGUUCAAAAGUGAAAGACGGUCUUGCUGUCACUAAUAGAUGGAUCCGCGCUGCAUUAGCUAGUUGGUAAGGUAACGGCUUACCAAGGCAACGAUGCAUAGCCGACCUGAGAGGGGGAUCGGCGACACUGGAACUGAGCCACGGUCCAGAGUACUACGGGAGGCAGCAGUAGGGAAUCUUCCGCAAUGGGCGAAAGCCUGACGGAGCAACGCCGCGUGAGUGGUGAAGGUCUUCGGUUCGGAAAACUCUGUUAUUAGGGAAGAACAGAUGUGUAAGUAACUGUGCACAUCGUGACGGUACCUAAUCAGAAAGCCACGGCUAACUACGUG